GGGUUGUGAGGUUAAGCGACUAAGCGUACACGGUGGAUGCCCUGGCAGUCAGAGGCGAUGAAGGGCGUGCUAAUCUGCGAUAAGCGCCGGUAAGGUGAUAUGAACCGUUAUAACCGGCGAUACCCGAAUGGGGAAACCCAGUGUGACUCGUCACACUAUCAUUAACUGAAUCCAUAGGUUAAUGAGGCGAACCGGGGGAACUGAAACAUCUAAGUACCCCGAGGAAAAGAAAUCAACCGAGAUUCCCCCAGUAGCGGCGAGCGAACGGGGAGGAGCCCAGAUCCUGAAUCAGCAUGUGUGUUAGUGGAAGCGUCUGGAAAGGCGCGCGAUACAGGGUGACAGCCCCGUACACAAAAGCGCAUGUGCUGUGAGCUCGAUGAGUAGGGCGGGACACGUGGUAUCCUGUCUGAAUAUGGGGGGACCAUCCUCCAAGGCUAAAUACUCCUGACUGACCGAUAGUGAACCAGUACCGUGAGGGAAAGGCGAAAAGAACCCCGGCGAGGGGAGUGAAAAAGAACCUGAAACCGUGUACGUACAAGCAGUGGGAGCCCCACCACCAAAGCAUUAUCUGGUGUUGAAGGCCCUGCAAAGCAGCAUCGCGGUGGCGGAGCGUCGUUUGCGACGCCCAACACACAAAACAAGCGGUGAAUGCUUUG
rnacentral:rRNA from 2 species